GCAGCUUGCUUCAGUAAUAGGUGCCCAGGUGGAGCUGCUGCUUGUAUGGACCUGUGUCUUGAGAUGGAAGGGCAGCCUCUCUGGGGAACAGUCCAAAGGGUCCCCAGACCUGACACAUCAAGAUUAAGACCUGAGGAUUUGGAGCUGAGUGAUAAGAAAGGAUGCUGGAGCUUUCCAUGGGUCCUGGAUCAUCAAUCCCAAAUCUGAAAAUAUUAAAGUUUUUCUGAAAAUUUAUGAAUCUCUGAGGUGAACUUAAUAACACAAUUGCAGAAUCUUGAAUCACCUGAUUUCCUAUCCUGGUUCCCACAGAACGUUCAUUUGGGUCUAAGGAGAAGGUCUUCUAAUGAUCCCAGAGCUGUCAUGAUAAUUAUCUACCACCACUUCAGGGAGAUGCUGUAGUAUAAAGUAGUGUUGGCUCUGCUAUUGGACAAACACAGAUGAAGAUCCUGGUUCCAUUGUUUACCAGCCCCGACUCUGGGCAAGGCUGCAGAAACACUGGGGGCACAGUGGCUCAAGGUUCAGGAUGGCUGAGGAAUAUGGUCCUGCUCCAGGCAAGCUGUGGGUACUGUAUUGCCCUGACUUGUGGAAACUGUUUUAAGCCUCCUUUCUUCAUUUCAUCAUAAAUUACCAUUAAGGUUGUCAUCAUCAUCACUAUGAUCAACUAGACAGAAGAAAAGUGGACAUCUGUCCUUUUCAUCCUCCUAACUUCUCCCCAUUCAGUCUUCCAUUAUCCAAAGAGUGACCAUCAGGAUGGGAAGGAGCUGAAUAAACUGAUCCCUCAAAGGUGGAGGAUUUUUUUAAAUUGAGGUGAAGAGACAACUCUGUCCCUUGGAAAUAAGGGAUGUUUAUCGAAGAGUCAACUCAGAGACCUCGUGGCCUUAGGUGUGGAAUACUUUAUCCUGCUUUCCAAAGCAUGUCCCUGCACGCACUAAAUUGGAGGAAAUUCCUUCCAGAACUCAAGCCCAGAAGGCUGACAAUGCUGUUGAUGGCAGUAUACUGAGUCAGCACAACCUUACCCACCGCAAUGUGUUUCUGAAGUGCAGGUCCAGCAGCUGUGUUAAACUAUACACUUGAUGCUUUAUGGGACCAAGGCAGAUUAGAUCAUGCAGAGAUGACCAGCCUGGGAUGAAAUGAGACAGGAGUCUUGCUGCUAAGGUAGGAGCAGAAUACUCAGGACCCAUGUGAGAGGAUCCAGAAGAGAAAGGUCAGUGUUAUGUGUGAAGACAGCCAUGGCUUCAACAAUACAGACAUUGCUUUCAUUGCAUGAAUGUAGUUGUCCUUGGGAAAUGGAAAGAGGAAGAGGAUUGAGGACAGUGAGCCCAGAAGGAACCUCAGAAUGGGGUUCCUAGGACCUUCGGAGCUGGCAGCCAUGAGGCUGCAGUAGCUUUUGUCAAGAAACAUCUGUGAUGAUGUGGGAAGGGAUGGGGGACGAGGAUACUUCCUAAUCCCCACUACUGGUGCCCUGGGUAGGGGAUGGGGGCACAGGCCCCAUCUGAACAAGCAAACAGCAGAGUUGGUUCCUGGAACUCUUAGCAGAGAGGGAGCUCUCUGUAGGUGACUUCAUGAUGUCAAUUUUGCAGGGCCUUCUGAACCUGCCCACGCAUGCUAGUCCCAUAGUCUUCAUGAGCAGUGGUUCUGGGGAACAAAAAGAGUGAGUUGAAUAAGAGUGGUAACACAGGAAACAGUCUCAGAAUCAUAGCAAGGCAGAGCUAACAAGUGAGUUUUAACAGUGAAAGGAAGAGAAAGCCUAGUGAGUAUUGCCAAAUGUAACAAAAAUCUCCACAUCCUCACAACUGAUGAUGGGAAAAGUGAGAACAAGUGGACAUAAUUUUGGUGGAGAGAUGGAAGGACCCUGUGCUGAUGAGAGGUUGUGACCUUCCUGUUGUGCUAUGGAGGGAUAGGAAGCAGGACCAAGGAAUACAAGAGGUAAAAAAGGAGGAUGGGCACCACUGGCACAGAAACCAUUAGAGGUCCUGCCUGAGCCAUCCCGAGGCCUUA